AAUCCAUCCGGGAGACCCAAAGGUACGAGUUCAUUGAAUGCACUGCGGAUGUUGGUGCCUCCCCACCGUGUUCAAAUAUUAAUUGUGGAAUGUUUCGUGAAUCUACCCAUGUUAAUCUGGACUUAUCAAAAUUUGUGCGGUUCAGUUUUCUAUACAACAGACAUGUAGCUGCAGUCAUCACAAUGUCAUUGCUAUCGACUCA
rnacentral:lncRNA from 1 species